ACAGGUAUGAUGAAAUUGGUAAACAUAUUAGAUUUAGAUUCUAAGUUACUUAAAUGUUGUUGAGGGUUCGAGUCCCUCUACCUGUA
rnacentral:tRNA from 1 species